GACAGAGGUGCCGAGCGUUAGGCGGAAUCACUGGGCUUAAAGCGUGCGCAGGCGGUGAUGUAAGACAGGUGUGAAAUCCCCGGGCUUAACCUGGGAACUGCAUUUGUGACUGCAUCGCUGGAGUGCGGCAGAGGGGGAUGGAAUUCCGCGUGUAGCAGUGAAAUGCGUAGAUAUGCGGAGGAACACCGAUGGCGAAGGCAAUCCCCUGGGCCUGCACUGACGCUCAUGCACGAAAGCGUGGGGAGCAAACAGG
rnacentral:rRNA from 1 species